CUUUUUUUAACUACAGUUUCUAAUUCACUCAGAGGAACAAAUUAUGUUUUAUGGCCAUUUAUAAAAUAUUCAUGCCCUCCUCCCCCAGCACUCUCGGCGGUUCAGGAAGCCAGCAAAUGGCCUGCUAGAAGGGGGAUCGCAUUUCCUCCCAGACACAAUUUACAGAGGCAGCCAGGCUCCGGACAAAGGAAAAGGAGGGGCCCUGAUGCUAGAACAGGCUGAAGGAAAGACCCCUGUGCCCUCUGCCUCUCCUGCAACCACAUCUCAGGACACCAAGGGCUUUGAACCAGGAUAGUAGCGAGGGCAGAGUGCAGAGGUGCUGGCUGACACUUCUCUGCGGUGCUUACCUCUUAUGCACUUCUCCUGGCAGGUUCAAGCCUCCGCCAAUCACCCAUACUGCACAGGCCCACCGGGUUUUCUGCAUCCUCUUUAUGUUGUGUCGUUUCCAGGGCAACGGCAAACCGGAGGAGACCGGUGGAGUCUGACCUUCCUCCAGAAGCUCUUUACAGUUCCUGGGAAUAUUUCACCCCGAGAUGGCGGUGCUAAUGGUGAAGCAGGAGCCUAAGGUAUCACCACCUCUCCCUGGGCCUGGUUCUUCUGCAUAGGAAGGAUCUUGGGUUAGAGAAGGAAGACUGGCACAAAAUAAGCCCUAGUUCUAUGGCCCAAUGCGUAGCCUGGCUUUCUGCCCCUGACUUGAGGCUGGCACUGUCUCAGAGAGUCCCUGGGCAUCUGCUCAGUGACUGACGGAAAGAGAUACAUCUCUCCCACAAGCAAAAGCAGAAACAACUCCACCGCCCCACAAACCAACCAGAGUAAAGAAGGGGCCUCGUGCCUUGCUGCCCACGGAGCCCAACUCCUGAUUCUCAGAGGGGGUUCCCAGAAAGACACUGGCUGCAGCUGUGCUGUGACCAGCAUACAAGCAGGGAGGGGAUGCAACACUGGUCACCCCAGGGCUUCUCUCCUCUUCCCCUUCCAUUCCAGAGUAUUCCUGUAUUGCCCCAUACUGUCUUUGAAGGUCCAAGGAAGGGAAAAGGGGGAGGUCUUACAAUAGGAAUUAUCUAAUUCACUCAUCAUUAAAACUCUCAAAAGUAUGUUGAGUUUCCUGUCUAUUUCCAGAGUGAGUUCAUCAGAA
rnacentral:lncRNA from 1 species